rnacentral:rRNA from 1 species
ACGGUAACAGGAUUAGCUUGCUAAUCGCUGACGAGUGGCGGACGGGUGAGUAAUGCUUGGGAACUUGCCUUUGCGAGGGGGAUAACAGUUGGAAACGACUGCUAAUACCGCAUGAUGUCUACGGACCAAAGGGGGCUUCGGCUCUCGCGCAAAGAGAGGCCCAAGUGAGAUUAGCUAGUUGGUGAGGUAAAGGCUCACCAAGGCGACGAUCUCUAGCUGUUCUGAGAGGAAGAUCAGCCACACUGGGACUGAGACACGGCCCAGACUCCUACGGGAGGCAGCAGUGGGGAAUAUUGCACAAUGGGGGAAACCCUGAUGCAGCCAUGCCGCGUGUGUGAAGAAGGCCUUCGGGUUGUAAAGCACUUUCAGUUGUGAGGAAAGGUUGGUAGUUAAUACCUGCCAGCUGUGACGUUAACAACAGAAGAAGCACCGGCUAACUCCGUGCCAGCAGCCGCGGUAAUACGGAGGGUGCGAGCGUUAAUCGGAAUUACUGGGCGUAAAGCGCACGCAGGCGGUUUGUUAAGCUAGAUGUGAAAGCCCCGGGCUCAACCUGGGAAGGCCAUUUAGAACUGGCAGACUAGAGUCUUGGAGAGGGGAGUGGAAUUCCAGGUGUAGCGGUGAAAUGCGUAGAGAUCUGGAGGAACAUCAGUGGCGAAGGCGACUCCCUGGCCAAAGACUGACGCUCAUGUGCGAAAGUGUGGGUAGCGAACAGGAUUAGAUACCCUGGUAGUCCACACCGUAAACGCUGUCUACUAGCUGUGUGUGAA